CGUCUAUAUACGUAUAGCAUAUCAAUAAGCGGAGGAAAAGAAACUAACAAGGAUUCCCUUAGUAACGGCGAGUGAAGCGGGAAGAGCUCAAAUUUGAAAUCUUCAAGGUUUUACCUUGACGAAUUGUAGUUUAAAGAAGUGUUUUCUGUUGGAGUUUUGGUAAAAGUUCUUUGGAAUAGGACAUCAUAGAGGGUGAGAAUCCCGUAUUUGAUCAUUAUUUCCAGCUUUGUGAUACACUUUCAAAGAGUCGGAUUGCUUGGGAAUGCAGUCCAAAAUGGGUGGUAAAUUUCAUCUAAAGCUAAAUAUUGGCGAGAGACCGAUAGCGAACAAGUACCGUGAGGGAAAGAUGAAAAGAACUUUGAAAAGAGAGUUAAACAGUACGUGAAAUUGUCAAAAGGGAAGCGUUUGACACCAGUGUUGUUUUCACGAAAAUCAAUUCAUGAUGGCUUGAUGCUAGGUUGUUAAGACUUUAUCAGCUUACUGUCUAGUUUUCUUGUCUUUGUGAAUGCACUUUUCGUUUAACAAGUCAACAUCAAUUUCUUUUGUUGUAAAAGGGUCAGUAGGAAGGUGGCUUCAGCUUUCGGUAGAAGUGUUUAUAGCCUUUGACUUCUGCAAUCGGAGAGAUUGAGGUCUGCAGCGUAGAUCCUUCGGGGUUAGAUGCAUUUGUGCUAAGCUACAGCCUUUCAUAGACAACUUGUUGACUAUGAUCAGUCAUGCAGCUUACUCGCUUAUGUCAUUUUACCUACGCUUAGGAUGUUGACACACGCGCGUGCUCG
rnacentral:rRNA from 1 species